rnacentral:rRNA from 1 species
GACGAACGCUGGCGGCAUGCCUAAUACAUGCAAGUCGAGCGAACAGAUGAAGUGCUUGCACUUCUGACGUUAGCGGCGAACGGGUGAGUAACACGUAAGGAAUCUACCUAUAAGCGGGGGAUAACAUUCGGAAACGGGUGCUAAUACCGCAUAAUAUCUUCUUCCGCAUGGAAGAAGAUUGAAAGACGGCUCUGCUGUCACUUAUAGAUGACCUUGCGGUGCAUUAGUUAGUUGGUGGGGUAAUGGCCUACCAAGACGAUGAUGCAUAGCCGACCUGAGAGGGUGAUCGGCAGCAUGGGGCCGGAGACACGGCCAAAACUCCUACGGGAUGCGGCAGUAGGGAAUCUUCCGCAAUGGGCGAAAGCCUGACGGAGCAAUGCCGCGUGAGUGAAGAAGGCCUUCGGGUCGUAAAACUCUGUUAUAAGAGAAGAACAAAUUGUAGAGUAACUGCUACAGUCUUGACGGUAUCUUAUCAGAAAGCCACGGCUAACUACGUGCCAGCCGCCGCGGUAA